rfam:Alloscardovia omnicolens F0580 genomic scaffold Scaffold46, whole genome shotgun sequence.
CGGGUUAUAGCGCAGCUUGGUAGCGCGCCUCGUUCGGGACGAGGAAGUCGCGGGUUCAAAUCCCGCUAACCCGA